AUGAUCUCCAAAGACUGCCUUCCAGCCAUCAUGAAGCUACCCAAUCUUAAGGUGUUGGCACUGGUGGGAUGUGUUGGAAUAGAUGAUGAUGCCCUUAGUGGUCUUGAGAAUGAAUGCAGCAAAUCACUACGGGUGCUCGAUAUGUCAACCUGUCGGAAUGUCACUCAUGCGGGAGUUUCAUCAGUUGUGGAGGCAGUGCCAAAUCUCUUGGAAUUGAAUCUAUCGUACUGCUGCAAUGUUACUCCAUCUAUGGAAAGAUGCUUCCAAAUGCUUCCUAAAUUGCAGACCCUGAAAUUGGAAGGCUGCAAGUUCAUGGCUGAUGGACUAAAAGACAUUGGAAUUUCUUGUGUCUCUUUAAGAGAGUUGAGCCUGAGCAAGUGCUCAGGAGUGACAAAUACUGAUCUGUCUUUUGUUGUGUCAAGACUAAAGAAUUUGCUGAAGCUGGACAUUACUUGCACGCAAUAUCACUGA
rnacentral:rRNA from 1 species